GGUUAAGCGACUAAGCGUACACGGUGGAUGCCCUGGCAGUCAGAGGCGAUGAAGGACGUGCUAAUCUGCGAUAAGCGUCGGUAAGGUGAUAUGAACCGUUAUAACCGGCGAUUUCCGAAUGGGGAAACCCAGUGUGUUUCGACACACUAUCAUUAACUGAAUCCAUAGGUUAAUGAGGCGAACCGGGGGAACUGAAACAUCUAAGUACCCCGAGGAAAAGAAAUCAACCGAGAUUCCCCCAGUAGCGGCGAGCGAACGGGGAGCAGCCCAGAGCCUGAAUCAGUGUGUGUGUUAGUGGAAGCGUCUGGAAAGGCGCGCGAUACAGGGUGACAGCCCCGUACACAAAAAUGCACAUACUGUGAGCUCGAUGAGUAGGGCGGGACACGUGGUAUCCUGUCUGAAUAUGGGGGGACCAUCCUCCAAGGCUAAAUACUCCUGACUGACCGAUAGUGAACCAGUACCGUGAGGGAAAGGCGAAAAGAACCCCGGCGAGGGGAGUGAAAAAGAACCUGAAACCGUGUACGUACAAGCAGUGGGAGCACGCUUAGGCGUGUGACUGCGUACCUUUUGUAUAAUGGGUCAGCGACUUAUAUUCUGUAGCAAGGUUAACCGAAUAGGGGAGCCGAAGGGAAACCGAGUCUUAACUGGGCGUUAAGUUGCAGGGUAUAGACCCGAAACCCGGUGAUCUAGCCAUGGGCAGGUUGAAGGUUGGGUAACACUAACUGGAGGACCGAACCGACUAAUGUUGAAAAAUUAGCGGAUGACUUGUGGCUGGGGGUGAAAGGCCAAUCAAACCGGGAGAUAGCUGGUUCUCCCCGAAAGCUAUUUAGGUAGCGCCUCGUGAAUUCAUCUCCGGGGGUAGAGCACUGUUUCGGCAAGGGGGUCAUCCCGACUUACCAACCCGAUGCAAACUGCGAAUACCGGAGAAUGUUAUCACGGGAGACACACGGCGGGUGCUAACGUCCGUCGUGAAGAGGGAAACAACCCAGACCGCCAGCUAAGGUCCCAAAGUCAUGGUUAAGUGGGAAACGAUGUGGGAAGGCCCAGACAGCCAGGAUGUUGGCUUAGAAGCAGCCAUCAUUUAAAGAAAGCGUAAUAGCUCACUGGUCGAGUCGGCCUGCGCGGAAGAUGUAACGGGGCUAAACCAUGCACCGAAGCUGCGGCAGCGACGCUGAUGCGUUGUUGGGUAGGGGAGCGUUCUGUAAGCCUGUGAAGGUGUGCUGUGAGGCAUGCUGGAGGUAUCAGAAGUGCGAAUGCUGACAUAAGUAACGAUAAAGCGGGUGAAAAGCCCGCUCGCCGGAAGACCAAGGGUUCCUGUCCAACGUUAAUCGGGGCAGGGUGAGUCGACCCCUAAGGCGAGGCCGAAAGGCGUAGUCGAUGGGAAACAGGUUAAUAUUCCUGUACUUGGUGUUACUGCGAAGGGGGGACGGAGAAGGCUAUGUUGGCCGGGCGACGGUUGUCCCGGUUUAAGCGUGUAGGCUGGUUUUCCAGGCAAA
rnacentral:rRNA from 1 species